CCUACGGGGGGCUGCAGUGAGGAAUAUUGGUCAAUGGCCGGAAGGCUGAACCAGCCAUGCCGCGUGAAGGUCAGUGCCCUAUGGGCGUUAAACUUCUUUUGUGCGGGAGCAAUAAUGGUCACGUGUGGCCAGACGAGAGUACCGUACGAAUAAGAAUCGGCUAACUCCGUGCCAGCAGCCGCGGUAAUACGGGGGAUGCAAGCGUUAUCCCGAUUUAUUGGGUUUAAAGGGUGCGUAGGCUGUGAGGUAAGUCAGCUGGGAAAUGCCCCCGCUCAACGGGGUGAAGUGCCAUUGAUACUGCCUUGCUGGAAUGCGGAUGCCGUGGGAGGAAUGUGUGGUGUAGCGGUGAAAUGCAUAGAUAUCACACAGAACACCGAUUGCGAAGGCAUCUCACGAAACCGCGAUUGACGCUGAUGCACGAAAGCGUGGGUAUCAAACAGGAUUAGAUACCCCAGUAGUC
rnacentral:rRNA from 1 species